rnacentral:lncRNA from 1 species
CUGGUUGAGUGAUGGAUGUGGAAUUUGGGCUGAAGACCAUGAAUUUGAAUCCCAGAUAGAGAGAGGAAUAGACAGAGGACAUGGCAAAACAAGAGGGUGAAGAAUGGUAGGGCUCAGAGCUGGGCAGCAAGCAUGUUGUUUAGGGGGUAAGAAUGGACUGUCCCUCCCAUUUCCUUUCUCUAUCCCAGCCCCCUUUUUUCCACAAACACUUUGUUUCAUAGAUACACUUUCACACUGCUUUUCACACACACUUUUACACUACCACAACCGCUUCUGCUCUUCCCCAUUGUGGCUGUAGGACAAGAGACCUAAAGACAGGACUUGUAAAUCACUAAGAAAAAAGGCGAGAGGAAGAGAGAUGGCCCAUAAAGCUGAACUAUAGCCCUGCAUCUUGAGGAAGAUUUUCUGUGAGCAUAAACUGUGAAAGGGUGUCAAGGACGUGCAACAUUAUACAAGUGCACAGAACUGUGGACUAGAGAAAGAAUGCUCAGUGAGUAUUCUGGAAUAGCACUCCGCUUCCUCUCUCCGUGUUGUUGGGGUUUGCCUGUACAUUUAUGUAUGACUGACAGAGGGGUUUGUUUGUGAUCGAGUGACUCUGCAGCAUUUGUUUGUGUGUCCGCUACUGGUUCUCUGUUUGUUUGCUUGUGUGUAGGAGUGAGGAUGCAGGGAACAUUUGUGUUACGUGUGUGAGUUUGUCUCCUCCACCGUACAAAGUCUCAGUCACCUCCAGAAGGUGAAGGCCUCACGGAAACGAACAACAUCAGUGCAAUGAUGGUCCAGGCCCGUGCUGUGACCGGCCCCGAAGAGUACAACCUGGAGAUGGUGUCUGUCAACCCCCUCAUGAUUUAUCAGACUUGCUCUGCCCUACGACCGUCUGUCUUUGUAGGACCAUCUGAGGAGACAGAUGGAGCAAAGAGAAGGAAACGGAAAUAGAGAGUGGGAGACAGAUGUGAGAUGAGAAUAACUGUUAAGGACAUGAGACAGGAACAUUUCUCAGACACAUUACUACUAUACAUGUAUCUUAAAGAAAUCUGCCCGGGGCAAAGCAAGUUGUAAAACCAUUCUUCCAUAAUUCUGUGAGUCACCACAAACACACAUGCACACGCAUGCAGACCAGUGGUGGCUGGUGACGCU